rnacentral:rRNA from 1 species
AUUGAACGCUGGCGGCGUGCUUAACACAUGCAAGUCGAUCGGUAACGCGGGGGCAACCCUGGCGACGAGAGGCGGACGGGUGAGGAACGCUUGGGAAUCUGCCCUUCAGCGGGGGACAACACGGGGAAACUCGUGCUAACACCGCAUACGCUCCACGGAGGAAAGCCGGGGACCGCAAGGCCUGGCACUGAAGGAUGAGCCCAAGUCGGAUUAGCUAGUUGGCGGGGUAACGGCCCACCAAGGCGACGAUCUGUAGUUGGUCUGAGAGGACGACCAGCCACACUGGGACUGAGACACGGCCCAGACUCCUACGGGAGGCAGCAGUGGGGAAUUUAGGACAAUGGGCGCAAGCCUGAUCCAGCAAUGCCGCGUGCAGGAAGAAGGCCUUCGGGUUGUAAACUGCUUUUGUCAGGGAAGAAAUCUUCUGGGUUAAUACCUCGGGAGGAUGACGGUACCUGAAGAAUAAGCACCGGCUAACUACGUGCCAGCCGCCGCCGUAAAAC